rnacentral:rRNA from 1 species
UACGAAGGGGGCUAGCGUUGCUCGGAAUUACUGGGCGUAAAGGGCGCGUAGGCGGCACUGUUAGUCAGGCGUGAAAGUCCUGGGCUCAACCUGGGAACUGCGCUUGAUACGGCAGAGCUAGAGGAUGGAAGAGGCUCGCGGAAUUCCCAGUGUAGAGGUGAAAUUCGUAGAUAUCUGGAGGAACACCGGUGGCGAAGGCGGCAUCCUGGACCGGCAUUGACGCUGAGGCGCGAAAGCCAGGGGAGCAAACAGG